rnacentral:rRNA from 1 species
AUUGAACGCUGGCGGCAGGCCUAACACAUGCAAGUCGAGCGAGCGGCGGACGGGUGAGUAAUGUCUGGGAAACUGCCUGAUGGAGGGGGAUAACUACUGGAAACGGUAGCUAAUACCGCAUACCAUCAGAUGUGCCCAGAUGGGAUUAGCUAGUAGGUGGGGUAACGGCUCACCUAGGCGACGAUCCCUAGGUGGUCUGAGAGGAUGACAAGCCACACUGGAACGGAGACAGGGUCCAGACUCCUAGGGGAGGCAGCGGGGGGGAAUAUGGCACAAUGGGGGAAAGCCUGAGGCAGCCAGGCCGCGUGUGUGAAGAAGGCCUUCGGGUUGGAAAGCACUUUCAGCGGGGAGGCGUUACCCGCAGAAGAAGCACCGGCUAACUCCGUGCCAGCCGCCGCGUAAUUC